rnacentral:misc_RNA from 1 species
GUGAAGAACGUAGCGAAAUGCGAUAAGUAAUGUGAAUUGCAGAAUUCAGUGAAUCAUCGAAUCUUUGAACGCACAUUGCGCCCGCCAGUAUUCUGGCGGGCAUGCCUGUUCGAGCGUCAUUUCAACCCUCAAGCCCUGCUUGGUGUUGGGGAUCGGCGUUGCCUCCUCCGUCGUUCGCGGCGGGGUGAGGUCGCCGCCCCCGAAAUGAAUUGGCGGUCUCGUCGCAGCUUUCCUUUGCGUAGUAACAUACCACCUCGCAACCAGGAGCGCGGCGCGGCCACUGCCGUAAAACGCCCAACUUUUUCAAGAGUUGACCUCGAAUCAGGUAGGAAUACCCGCUGAACUUAAGCAUAUCAAUAAGCGGAGGA